rnacentral:rRNA from 1 species
AGCAGUCGCCGCGGUAAUACGUAGGGGGCUAGCGUUGUCCGGAAUCAUUGGGCGUAAAGCGCGUGUAGGCGGCUUGACAAGUCUGCUGUGAAAGUCCAGGGCUCAACCCUGGAAUGCCGGUGGAAACUGUCAAGCUAGAGUCCGGAAGGGGAGUGUGGAAUUCCUGGUGUAGCGGUGAAAUGCGCAGAUAUCAGGAGGAACACCAAUGGCGAAGGCAGCACUCUGGGACGUGACUGACGCUGAGACGCGAAAGCGUGGGGAGCAAACAGGAUUAGAUACCCCGGUAGUCCCUGUCUCUUAUAC